rnacentral:rRNA from 1 species
UACAGAGGUCUCAAGCGUUGUUCGGAUUCAUUGGGCGUAAAGGGUGUGUAGGUGGCGCCGGAAGUCGGGUGUGAAAUUUCGGAGCUUAACUCCGAAACUGCAUUCGAUACUGCGGUGCUUGAGGACUGGAGAGGAGACUGGAAUUCAUGGUGUAGCAGUGAAAUGCGUAGAGAUCAUGAGGAAGACCAGUGGCGAAGGCGGGUCUCUGGACCGGUACUGACGCUGAUGCGCGAAAGCGUGGGGAGCAAACGGG